CCCCCCCCCCCCCCCCACCCCUGCCUGUCCCUGCCUCCAUUCUCACCAUCCCCUCUGCUCCAUGCUCACCGGCGCCACCUAUCCACUCCAUCGGGAUCUCGCCCGCCUUCUUCACUCCCCGCGACGUGUCUGGGUGAGCAGCCGGAUCCGGCCGCCAUCAAGCCAUCCAUUGUUCUGGCCAUCCCUGGCCGACUUCCGCUGCCAACGGCAACUUGCAGGACGAUUUGUACAUCAGGCGAGCGGCACCGUCGAUCUGCCAUCCUAGGCCAAUUUCUGGUGCCGAGGGCGUCGUGUUCUCCUCCAACUUGCACGGCAACAGGGCUCUUCCGAUGUCCACUGAUUGAAGCUCGCCGCUCCGAGCAGUAGGCGCUAACACUGGGAGAGAGUCCGGCUGGGCCUCCACUCCAACAGACAGUUUGGAGGGAACAGGCGCUGCUGAUGGGAGCCGCAGCUGCCGGAGCUGUGCCGCGGCGCCACUCGAUGGAAAAACAUUUCCUAACGCCACAGGGGGGAAUAUGCCCUCGAGGAGGAGGGCGAGCUAAUGCGCCGCAUCGCCACUCGAUGGAAAAACCAUUUUCUAACGCCGCAAGGGGGAUAUGCCCUUAAGGAGGGCGAGCCACUGAGCCGGUUGCCGAGUUGACGCAAGAGAACAGCGCUACUGCUCCAGUGCGACGGCACUCAGGGGCUGAGGCUCUACCACACAUGCUCGCAGAACGAACCGCUUCUCAAUGGGUGAUUGAUUUUGUAGCACUCGAUCGCUGAGUUAAAGGUUGUAGCUGAAUUGAAUAUUUCUUGUUCUUCAGAAUCUCGUGCGAGCCUUUUGCUUUUUACUGUAAUCCAUGGAUGUUGGUGUUGUGAAUGUUAAAUUAUUGAUAUCUUUAACUUGUGAAUUGGUUGGAUAAAUCCGGGAAUAUGUAUGAGAUGAAGUUUCUGAA